rnacentral:rRNA from 1 species
UACAGAGGUGGCAAGCGUUGUUCGGAAUUACUGGGCGUAAAGGGCGCGUAGGCGGCCAUCUAAGUCAGACGUGAAAUCCCCCGGCUUAACCUGGGAACUGCGUCUGAUACUGGACGGCUUGAGUAUGGGAGAGGGAUGUAGAAUUCCAGGUGUAGCGGUGAAAUGCGUAGAUAUCUGGAGGAAUACCGGUGGCGAAGGCGGUUCUCUGGGCAUUACCUGACGCUGAGGAGCGAAAGUGUGGGGAGCGAACAGG